AACAAAGAUCUCUCAAAUCUCAACCCAAAGUCUAGCGUUUCUCCUCUCCCUCCCUCUACCUGCGCCGCUCUCGUUCUCUCCUUCUACAGCCACAGUCUUUGUUUAUACCUCACCAUCGCUUUCGUUCUUGACUGUCGCCUCCGCAGCAGUCGUGCUCUUUAAGCGUACAAGAGCCAGAUUUUUGUUCAUGUGCGGAGGAAGAUGAUGUUGAUUGUUAAUCCUUGCAAUCUUGGUUCUUGAACAAGUGGAGUUCAAGAAUUAUGUUUAUGUAAAAUUUCUUCUGUUGUUAUUAUAAUUUUGUUCUGUUUUAAUGUACUUUUUAAUUCAGUAAUUUUUUUUAUUGAGAUACUUUUUAAUAUGUUCUAUAUGGAUUUAGUUCUCAUGCAAGUAUUAUGUUUAUGUAAAAUUUUUUAUGUUUA